GACGAACGCUGGCGGCGUGCUUAACACAUGCAAGUCGAACGGAAAGGCCCUGCUUUUGUGGGGUGCUCGAGUGGCGAACGGGUGAGUAACACGUGAGUAACCUGCCCUUGACUUUGGGAUAACUUCAGGAAACUGGGGCUAAUACCGGAUAUGAUCUCCUGCUGCAUGUGGGGGGUUGGAAAGUUUCGGCGGUUGGGGAUGGUCUCGCGGGUUAUCAGCCUGUUGGUGGGGUAGUGGCUUACAAAGGCUUUGACGGGUAGCCUGCCUGAGAGGGUGGCCGGCCACAUUGGGACUGCGGUACGGCCCAGACUGCUACGGGAGGCAGCAGUGGGGAAUUUUGCACAAUGGGCGGAAGCCUGAUGCAGCGACGCCGCGUGCGGGAUGACGGCCUUCGGGUUGUAAACCGCUUUCGACUGUGACGAAGCGUGCGUGACGGUAAUGGGUAAAGAAGCACCGGCUAACUACGUG
rnacentral:rRNA from 1 species